rnacentral:rRNA from 1 species
UACGAAGGGGGCUAGCGUUGUUCGGAUUAACUGGGCGUAAAGGGCGCGUAGGCGGGUUUUUAAGUCAGGGGUGAAAUCCCGAGGCUCAACCUCGGAACUGCCUUUGAUACUGGAAAUCUUGAGUCUGGGAGAGGUGAGUGGAACUGCGAGUGUAGAGGUGAAAUUCGUAGAUAUUCGCAAGAACACCAGUGGCGAAGGCGACUCACUGGCCCGAUACUGACGCUGAGGCGCGAAAGCGUGGGGAGCAAACAGG